UUUAACGGAAAAACUUUUCCAUUAAAAGUAUUUGUGUAAACUUGCCAAUCUAGACGCAGCCCCAGUGUCUUCUGCAACACAGAUAUGGCUAUGCCCUGGAGCCUCCCUUUCCCAGGACAAUGCAGCCUACCAGCCAAAUCAAUAGUCCUGGUGUAGCAUUCAGUCAGGGGAUAAGGAGGUACAGUAGGGGGACCCCAACCCUCCAUCUCCACCAGGUCCCAGCCCAGGGCCUUGUCAGUGGUGGACAUGUCCCAUCACUAACUCAGUGGGGAGUCCACCUAAAACACACUAAGCUUCUCAGGGACUCUGGUUCCCUACCCUGGGUUACUUCUUACCUUGUCCUGGAUUGCUGGCAUCUUUCCCACCUGCAUCCUUCCAAGCCAGGCCCUUCCAUGUCUGAUCUCUGCUGGCUGGCCUCUGCUGUGGCAUCCGGCGGUGGCAGUGGCUGGGGCUGCGGCUGCUGCUCCUCCAGGCUAGAAGCCUUCCUGGCUGACUGGCCCCUCAGGCAGCUCACCUGCAGGCAGUACAUACAUACAUACAUACAUACAUACAUACAUCCUUCCUUCCUUCCUUCCUUCCUUUCCAGCAGCCAGCCCAGACAGACUGAGUUGCCUUUGAAGCUUUUAUACCUGACCUGUAGUCUGAGCAUGCCCUGUAGGGCAGGACUUCUUCAGCCAGGAACCAGCUGGCUCCAUCCCUGGAGGAGUUUCUAACAACAACAUCAGGCUGCGCUACUACCGGCGCCCAGACUCCAGAGGUUGCCCUGCGUCCCUGCUGCGCUCGGCCCAGGCAGUGCUGGGAGGUAUUCGUGCCCUGCACUGGGAGCUCUACUAUAAUCUCAGCUGGACAGGUGUGUUGCCCCCCAGCCCCAAAGAGACCCAGGUGCUGCACUGGCUCUUUGGCUGCCCCUUUGAACCUGGAGAUGUUGCCACGGAGUCCUUCCUGCGCCCAGCACCCACCGACCUGGUGAUAGAGAUUGGGCCUCGGCUGAAUUUCUCCACGGCGUUCUUCACCAACAUGGUGUCCAUGUACUGGGCAGCAGGGCUGGACUGUGUUGACCAUGUAGAGCACUCUUGCUGCUACCUGCUGCAGUGGGCCUGGCACCCCACAGCCCCCGAGAAGGCCAUUCUGGUGGCAGUGCUCAGUGACCGGAUGACAGAACAGCUCUACGAGGAGACGAUCUGAAGCUUUGCCGUGGACACCCACCCUAUGCCCACCCAUGACAUAGAAGUGCUACAGGAGAGGCGCACUAUGCUGGAGAGAGCCAACCAGGAGCUGAGUAUGGGGGGUGCAGAGCUGGGGGCAAGGGCCUGUGUUGGUGGGGAGGACCUAGGUGCUCAGAACCAGGACUAACGGGGACUGGACAUCCUGGAGUCAGGCUGGUGGAUGAGUCCUUGGGAUAAGGGGGGCUGGAUGUGGUGGGGAAUGGGGGAGAGCUCUGCAGUGGUGCAGGGAUUGGGUCUGUGAUGUGGGAGGAGGGACACCCAGAAGCUGAAAUGGACUCUGGGAGCUGGAUUGCUAGGGUAGAGCCAGGGCUAUGGCUGACCCCCAGCUCCCCAGGUUUGGGCCCCCUGCUGUCUAGGGAUGAUUUUUUUCAUACUGGAGAGUGCUGGGGGUCAAAGGUCACUGUCCCCCAUUCCACCCUAACUCAUUUUCCCUGCAGGCCUGGCCUUUGAUUCCUGGGACCUGGAGUAUUAUACUGAGUAUUUUCCAGAGAAUUGGGCUCAACCUGACCAACGUGGACUGCUUUGACCUGGCCCAGUCCAACAGUGAGCACAGCCGACACUGGUUCUUCAGAGGGCACUGCCUGGUGGACAUUGCGAUGGAGAUUGAGGAGUCGCUGUUUGACUCCAUCAUGCGGACCCAGAAGAGCAGCAACCCCAACAAUGUCAUCAAGUUCUCGGACAACAGCAGGCUACCCACUGCCCUAGGAGGACCCAGCACUUCCCGACCCUGAGAACUUCGCCCACCUCCUGCAAGUGACCAUCAGAGCCAGUGAUGGUGCCUCGGACUAUGGCAACAAGUUUGAGAUGCCUGUCCUGGCUGGGAACGUGCUGAAGGAGUUGAGUGAACCAGCUGUGGCCGUGAUUUAUGCCAGCCGCUUCCAGGUGUGUGAGGAUCCCUUGUGCCCUCACAUCAGCUCCUCCCAGGUGGCUGGGGGAUCUCAGAUGGGUCCUCUUAUGACAGCUGCCCCCAGGUAUGUGGGGCGUGGCCCCAAUCCACAUGAGACUUGGAGCUGCUGCCCUCCAAGAUGCCCCAGGACUCUCUCCUGUAUGAAAAGCUGGACCAAGGUGUAGCACCCUUGCCCCAGUGUUUGGUUCUGGGCAGCAAUGGGGAUCUGUCCCCACGGGGCUUGAUACAACCCUGCUCCCAACAUUGCUCCAACAUGGGCCUGUCAGGCAGGGAUGCUCCCCACCCCCAGCUGGUUGCUCCAGAGUGGAGAGAACCCUGACUCCCCCCAGCCCGACCAAAUGCUGUCACUCACCCCUGGGUGUGUGUCAGCCCCCAACCCCUGCAUCAAUGGGCAGUGUGGUAAAGGCAAGAGAAGACAACUAACUGCCUUCCCACCCAAGGGCUUCAGAAACCCCUGUUGUUUCCUUGCCUCUGGCUUUGCUAUGGGCCAUGCCGGUUGCGUGGCCAAGGGGAAGGCAGAGUAGCAGCUGCCCUCCAGGAACCUGAAUGUAAAAUAUAAGCUCACGUUUCAAAUGCAGAGCAGCCUGUUUGCAGGCUGUGUCAGGAGCGCCAUCUGUAGCCCAACGCUGGCUGGAUCCUACUGAUAGUUGGUCUCUCUGUCACAGAGGCUGUGUCCAGACACAGGGGGUUUUUCGAAAAAACUUCACCUGCGUCUAGACUACAGCCGCGUUCUUUCAAAAUUAAAUCGAAAA